rnacentral:rRNA from 1 species
GCGAGCGGCCGUAACACAUUGAAUUCGCCAGUUACGAAUGGAUCACUGAAGUUGAGUAAAGUUGUGCUCUGUUGGUAUCCGAAUGGGUGACCAUCUGGGCAGUCGCCCAGAUGGUGCUGGCU